rnacentral:misc_RNA from 1 species
GUCUUUGCAUUGGCUGUGGCAUUGAAAUUGGAGCUGAGUUUGCUUAUUUGGUCAAAAUCCAUCAUUAUAGCUGAUUUCAAGUUGAAAAACCAAUGAAGAACGAUGCUUCGACAUUGGAAUUGAAGUUUCCCAUAAUUGAAAAGCACAUCAGUGAGAGAUAUUUGAUUUACUUUCCUCUCUAUUUUUUCUCCUCUCAUCCACUGUUUUCUAUUCUUAAAUUCUGCAACCCGC